rnacentral:rRNA from 1 species
GUCUAUGGCCAUACCCACCCUGAAAGCGUCUGAUCUUUUCUGAUCCUGGGAGCUAAGCAGGGUUAGGCCUGGUUAGUACUUGGAUGGGAAACUGAGAAACAGAUUGGCUAGGACG